rnacentral:misc_RNA from 1 species
CGUAAAGGUGCAUGAGUGGUGUUUGGUUUGUUACGGGUGGUUGGCUCUUUGCUUGCGCAACAACUUCCACUUGGCAUACCUCUUCAGUCUUGUGUCAAUGUUUGUAUUGCAUUGAAUGCACGGUGGGUUUGCUGUGUUGCAUGCCUAAUCAAUGGUAUCAUUUGAUGAAUUGAAGUUCUUUUUCGUCUUGUGUUGCACAUGCAAUGUGAGAUGAACCUUGAAGCAAGCUUUGUGAUCCACUCUUUUGAUGCACAUGCAUCGAUUUGGUGGCCCAUUGAUUGUUGCUUGGUCUCAUGGAUAUGGAACCUGGUGUGGGCAUUAUGAAUUCCUCGUUUGCCCUAGUUUAGCUUUUCAAAUACGAGUGUCU